CAAGCGUCUGGGGUAAAGAGUCGUUGCCAUCAACAACACCCCACUGAUGAGUCUAGGCAGUGACUCCGAGACGAAACGCAUU
rnacentral:hammerhead_ribozyme from 17 species